AAAUUGAAGAGUUUGAUCAUGGCUCAGAUUGAACGCUGGCGGCAGGCCUAACACAUGCAAGUCGAACGGUAACAGGAAGCAGCUUGCUGCUUCGCUGACGAGUGGCGGACGGGUGAGUAAUGUCUGGGAAACUGCCUGAUGGAGGGGGAUAACUACUGGAAACGGUAGCUAAUACCGCAUAAUGUCGCAAGACCAAAGAGGGGGACCUUCGGGCCUCUUGCCAUCGGAUGUGCCCAGAUGGGAUUAGCUUGUUGGUGGGGUAACGGCUCACCAAGGCGACGAUCCCUAGCUGGUCUGAGAGGAUGACCAGCCACACUGGAACUGAGACACGGUCCAGACUCCUACGGGAGGCAGCAGUGGGGAAUAUUGCACAAUGGGCGCAAGCCUGAUGCAGCCAUGCCGCGUGUAUGAAGAAGGCCUUCGGGUUGUAAAGUACUUUCAGCGGGGAGGAAGGGAGUAAAGUUAAUACCUUUGCUCAUUGACGUUACCCGCAGAAGAAGCAC
rnacentral:rRNA from 1 species